GAUUAAGAUUGGGGAGAAUGAGUCUGUUUCCCUGGGGGAAUCUAAAGAGACUAAGGUGGAGCUCUGGAUUCUUGGGAGACUGACUCCACACAGCUGUGGAUCAUCUAUGUACUCAUCACCAUGCAAGUCCAUCUUCUCUGAACUUCCCUCCGCCUCAUCAGUUCGUUGUCCCUCGCAGUCUGAUUAGACCCUCAGUGUUGUGUUUUGGCUUUUACUUUGUCCUCUCACCUGCUUGUUAACAUCAUAUACAUAUUAUUUUUUCCUGUUCUGUGAUUUUCUCUAGAAUCUUGUUUCGGAAUAUUUACCUUGUUUCACAGAGAAGACAGCUUAUGCACAAGGAAAAGUGUAAAAUGGGGUGAGACAUAGCAGAUCAAAAUAGGAGGCAUGUAAAAAACACAACACUUUGCCUGUACAGGUGGAGUUUGGUGGUAAAAAUAGUAACUCCACCUAGUUUAUGUAUCUUUUUUUGCUUUGAACAAUGUUAAGGAAUCAGUCUGCUUUACUUAAUAUUAUCUUGACAAAAAAGUGGGCAGAGAAUUCAAGUCAGGAAUCAAACACCAUCCAGAAACAUAGAGGAUUGCCAGCCUCAGUGUGACAUGAGCCUGAGUGUUUGCAGUGAUUUAAUGUGAGCUAGCAGGUAGAAGUCAGCUGAAACAUCUACAUUUAGUCAAAAUGAAAAAAAUAUAUAUUUUUUUCAUUGUAUUAAUAUUUAAUGAAUAUGUCAGAGUAAAUUAUCAAAUAUAACUGGUCUGUAAUGGCAGACUACAAAUUGUUUUUAAAUGGAAAAUGGAUCAUUUGCUUAACUAAAGGAAAUACCUCUGACAGGAAUAAGAGUGUGUGUUUGCUUAUUGGCAGUGCAGACAGAGGCUUCCCCAAAAAUCCUAUUUAUAAUCCUAUAGACAAAAAACGGAUGUACUGAAGUUAAGCCCUUAUGAAUAAAACACAAACUAAUUAUUUUAGAAAAGCAAGACUUCAUCUGUGCCCAUUCACUGUUUCUACAUUUUAUACAACCACUGCUCAAGAAGAAAAAUGUUGGAAAAAAGCUAGUAGAUGCCUGUUAAGAUUAAUUGAUCCAGUUUUUCUUGUCAAAUUGGUGUAUUAAAAAUUCAGCAACUUUAGGUUUUAAAUAUGAAUUGCUGAUCAUUUCUGCAAGUGAAAGGGAUGUGAAACUAAAAGCUAGAAUUUUGAAGGAGUUUAAGAAAAGGAUGAAACUAUUAUGUGAGUAGCUGUUAAUGCUAAGCAACCU